rnacentral:lncRNA from 1 species
CUCACAUUAUUAAGUAUUUAACAAGUUCAAGCACAAUAAAAAGGAGGGAAUAAUAAUAAUAAUAAUAAACUAGAUCAAAGGGAAACCUUUUGGAUUAAUAAAUUAAAGGACCAAUAGAGUCACCCAGGCCACUUAAUCUCAAUGAAGUGGCCUGGGUGCAGUGGUUCUGUCAAUUUAACCCUACAAGGUAAAACACUGCCAUUUUGCAGAAAUAGCAAUGUUUACCUGAAAGGGUUAAACAGCCACUGGAGGAGUCUCCACUGCGCUGAUCGGUCACGUGAUACGGAAGCUCCCAUAGGAAACGGGGAAGCAUGGAUACGCGUAUGAUGUUCGCUGUGCAUGUGCAUCAGGAUCCCAGUGUUCCCCUAUGAGGAGCAUUGGAUUGGACUACGCCAGAGGAGGCUAUGAAAUUGCGGGAGGAAGAGAGGUAAUCGGUGCCAUAAGAGCAAAAACCUGACCUGACCUAUAUAACUAAGGUCAGGAACACUAACAAUUUAGGAAUACAGGUUUGUAUCCAAAUGUUUUAGUGUUCCUUUAAAAAAAAAAAACCUUCAGCCACAGAAUUAAAUAUAGAC